rnacentral:rRNA from 1 species
GAAAUGCGCAGAUAUCAGGAAGAACACCGAUGGCGAAGGCAGGUCUCUGGGCCAUUACUGACACUGAGAAGCGAAAGCAUGGGUAGCGAACAGGAUUAGAUACCCUGGUAGUCCAUGCCGUAAACGUUGGGCACUAGGUGUGGGGGACAUUCCACGUUUUCCGCGCCGUAGCUAACGCAUUAAGUGCCCCGCCUGGGGAGUACGGCCGCAAGGCUAAAACUCAAAGGAAUUGACGGGGGCCCGCACAAGCGGCGGAGCAUGCUGAUUAAUUCGAUGCAACGCGAAGAACCUUACCAAGGCUUGACAUGCACUGGACGGCUGCAGAGAUGUGGCUUUCUUUGGACUGGUGCACAGGUGGUGCAUGGUUGUCGUCAGCUCGUGUCGUGAGAUGUUGGGUUAAGUCCCGCAACGAGCGCAACCCUCGUUCUAUGUUGCCAGCACGUGAUGGUGGGGACUCAUAGGAGACUGCCGGGGUCAACUCGGAGGAAGGUGGGGACGACGUCAAAUCAUCAUGCCCCUUAUGUCUUGGGCUUCAAGCAUGCUACAAUGGUCGGUACAAUGGGUUGCGAAACUGUGAGGUGGAGCGAAUCCCAAAAAGCCGGCCUCAGUUCGGAUUGGGGUCUGCAACUCGACCCCAUGAAGUCGGAGUCGCUAGUAAUCGCAGAUCAGCAACGCUGCGGUGAAUACGUUCCCGGGCCUUGUACACACCGCCCGUCAAGUCACGAAAGUCGGUAACACCCGAAGCCAGUGGCCCAUCCUCGUGAGG